rnacentral:lncRNA from 1 species
CUACAGCCUUGGAUCAGCAGGACUUGCCCUUUCAAGUGGGCAAGCUUUCCAGCUCUGCUUGUCAGCAGUAGGCAGGCCUACUGUGCUGUGAUCCCUGCUGCUGCAUAGACCCAGAGACCCAGACAUGGUCCUCAGCAGCAGCUCAGGCUGGGACUUUAUCCGUGGCUCCAGGUGAUGGAGCUGGCCACCCACAACAGGCUUCUCCUUUCCACCCUCGAGUCUCCAGUUCCAUCUCUCUUCAUAAUGCUCAAGGUAUUCUACUUCUCUUCUCUUUUCACCACAUACUCACACAUUGUGGUGGCUCCCGCUGCAGGCUGGCCACACUGCUGGCAGGCCCCUGGGUAACAUGGCAGGGAGUGGCAGCAUGUGAGUGUCUAAUGGCCCGCCUGUACUGUUUGCUGGAGGAAGGUCUGUGGGUGGCAUGGUGGUCCACAGGUCUCUGUCUGUCUUCCUCCUCCUGCCCUGUGCUGCCUGGGUUUGAUUUGAUUUGUUUUUCUUGAGUCUCAGGCAUAAAAGAGCUUUGGACACCAAGCCAGGCAUCAGGCUAAGAUGAACAUCUGCUCUGCCCCAACUGACAUAAGAACAUGGCCACCAACAUGGUGUCUCUUUGCCCAUUGCCAGAGUGGUACUU